CCGUAACUGGGUUCAAGUAAUCCAGGAUAGGCUUGGUAUCUGUCUCGGCCUAUGCUUGAUUACUUGCACUUGGAGACGG
rnacentral:pre_miRNA from 1 species